rnacentral:lncRNA from 1 species
AUCCCUUUAAUAGAAGUUUAUGUAUGUGGUAAAAUCUAUAACAAAAUUUAUUUUUUUAAACUGGGAAUAGAACCUAGGUAUACUCUACCAUUGAGCUAUAUCCUCAGCCAUUUUUUUCUUUUUUUUUUUUUUGAGACAGGGUCUUGCAGACUCGCUCAGGGGUCUUGCUAAAGAUUACCUUGAACUUGUGAUCUUUCUGCUUCAACCUUCCUAGUCACUGGGAUUACAUGUAUGCAACCAUGCCUGGCUCCAUUUUUAAAGAGUACUGUUUAGUGAUAUUAAGUACAUUCACAUUGUGCAGCUAUCAUCACCAUUUAUAUCAAGAACUUUUUCAUCUUCCCAAACUGAAACUACCAUUAAACAAAAAUUCCCCUAGCCCCUGGCAAGAAAUUCUACUUUCCGGCUAUGAAUUUUACUACUCUAUGAUCUAAGUGGAGUCAUGCAGUAUUUUUCCCUCCCCCGGCACCCACCCACCUUUUUUUUUUUUUUUCAAAUGGUACUAAGGAUUGAAUCCAGGGCCUUAAACACACUAACACAAGCUCUACCACAGAGUGAUACCCCUUUUUAUUCUGUUUUGAGACAGGAUCUCACUAGGUAGCCCAGGCUGGCCUUGAAUUUGGAAUCUUCCUGCUUCAGCCUCAUUAGUAGCAUAUACCACCACACCUGGCUAGUAUUUUGUCUAAUGGCUAGAUUUCACUUAGCAUAAUGUCCUCAAGUUUCAUUCAUGUUGCAGCAUGUGUUGGGAUUUUCUUUUCAAAGCUAAAUAUUAUUCUAUUAUAUAUUUUAUUUUGUUUAUCAAUCAAUGGACAGUUUUAUUUUUCCUUUUGGCUACUGUGAAUAAUGCUGCUGUAAACAUGGAUGUAUAGAUUCCUGUUUUGAGUUCUUUCAAUUUGGGGGCAUAUACCUAGAGGUAGAGUAGCUGAAUAUGUUUUAUCUUUUGAGGUUUAUCCUCU